rnacentral:rRNA from 1 species
GAGAUGUUGGGUUAAGUCCCGUAACGAGCGCAACCCUUGUCCUAGUUACCAGCACGUUAUGGUGGGCACUCUAAGGAGACUGCCGGUGACAAACCGGAGGAAGGUGGGGAUGACGUCAAGUCAUCAUGGCCCUUACGGCCUGGGCUACACACGUGCUACAAUGGUCGGCACAAAGGGUUGCCAAGCCGCGAGGUGGAGCUAAUACCCAUAAAAACCGAUCGUAGUCCGGAUCGCAGCCUGCAACUCGACUGCGUGAAGUCGGAAUCGCUAGUAAUCGUGAAUCAGAAUGUCACGGUGAAUACGUUCCCGGGCCUU